AACGCACAUUGCGCCCCCUGGUAUUCCGGGGGGCAUGCCUGUCCGAGCGUCAUUGCUGCCCUCAAGCACGGCUUGUGUGUUGGGCCCUCGUCCCUCCGUCUGGGGGGACGGGCCCGAAAGGCAGCGGCGGCACCGCGUCCGGUCCUCGAGCGUAUGGGGCUUUGUCACCCGCUCUUGUAGGCCCGGCCGGCGCCUGCCGACCCCAACCUUUUUUUAACCAGGUUGACCUCGGAUCAGGUAGGGAUACCCGCUGAACUUAA
rnacentral:misc_RNA from 1 species